UUGUUGUUGUUGUUUUUAGUUAGCAAUUUUCUUUCUUUCUUUCUCUCCCCCCUUUCUUUUCUUCUUUUCUUUUUUUCCCAUCUGAAUUACAGUGCUCACAGCUGCACAGCUUCAAAAACUGUACCUCCUCCCUGCUGGGCUGCAGGCAGGGAAUUACUCUCCUGGGAACACUGACAGUUUAGGAUGCAGGAACCUGCGCACCUUGCUGAAUAUCUCAGAAGCAUUGAUGUUCCAGUUCUGUGCAGCGUCUGCAUUUUCAGUAUCUUCUUCUCAUCAAACACAAGAUCCCCUGAUGCAGAGAUUUCAUCUUUCAACAUUUUAGUCUUUUUUUUGUAGCUCAAAGAGGAGAAGUCCUCAAAGUUUGACAGUUAUCCCAAUUGAUUGUAAGACACCACCACACUACAGUGAGGAAAUCAGAAUUAUUUCAACCAAAUUAUUUCUAGUCCCCACAAUUCCUCACAUCUUCAUGUGAUGGUGAAUCGUUGAACAUUUUAAAUCAAUAAUGCUCACCUUGGAGGAGUCUGAAGCGUGGCCAUGCUCAUGCUCAUAGACUGGAUCCCUAUCCUUCUCUACUUCCUGUUGCCAUAGUUGGGACCUAGUGUCCUAGGCCAGCGUGACUCAUGGUCCAGUUUUCCCCAAAGUUUAAUGUAAAAAUAUCUUGGGGGAAAAUUUUUUCAGAUUUAUAAACCUCAUCCUCAUGUAUUCUGAUUCAUAUGGCGCCUCAGAAUGGACUUUAAAAAUAGUAACUCCCAGGACCUGGGGACUUAUUGUGGAAUUCCAGUCCAUUAUGUCUGGGUUUAUUUUCUCUACACUCACUGAAGAUGGAGAUUUCUGGAUCCAGAAAAAGAAUGUGGCCAUCCAUCUGAUGGAGUAAGAACUCAACAUCUAAAUUAAUCCAGGAGCUUCUGGAUUUCAACAGACUUGUCUUUAAAUUCUGAUUCAGUUACUAGCUAUGUGACCUGGGUGGAGUUUGAAAACCUUCCUCAUCUGCAGAAUGGGAUUAAUAGUAGUACCUCUUUAUUGACUGGAGAAAAGCUACAAGGAAUUGAUGCCAUGUCAAGCAAUUGUCCAGAACAGGAGCGUAUGUUAAGCACUCAUUACUGCUAUUGUGUGUUGCACUGUUGCACGGAAGGCGAGAGACUUCUGGAGAAUCUUCCCAGCUCUAGAAUUUCAUUGUGACUUUUCUAGAUUUGGUUGCCUGGUCAAUUUAAGCUACACAAUUAAUACUAAUGAAAAACUGGGGGACAUGGAAAAAUGGGGGCAAGAAGUAGUAUCCUUCUUCCUUGCUUAAUAUUGGAACCCAUUGAGGAAAAAGACCAAGAGAUUUGGGAAAUGGUUCCAUUGGUGAGCAAGGACACACAUUUGUUUAACAGCUGGACAAAGAUAGAGGCGCCAAGUCUAGUUCUAUUUUGACUGACGAAAUCAAGAGUAAAGACUGAGGCAUGGGGCUGUGGCUUCUUCAUGGAGAACCUCAGAAAGAGCUGUGUUUAUCCUGUCAGCUGGCCUCAGGCACUGGCCUGCCUCCUGAGGAGCAAAGAAAAUGUAUUCCCACCUGUCAGCUUGCUCCCAAGGGUAGAUGAAGGGGGUCUUCAGGCACAUCUCAAACUCACCAGUCUGUCCUCCACCUGGAGAGAACCAUCAAAAAAAGUGUAAAAGUGAGUGUUCCCCUGAUAGGAUUAUCUACCUCAGAGUCUAUAGAGUUUAAGAAAUAAAUGACCCAGAUUUGUCACUUCCUGAAGACACAGUUUAUGGAAGAUAAGUUUAGACCGAGGUAUUUUAUUUUACUUGUAGGUUAAACUAGUUCAUAUCAAUAAACUCAGUCUUUUCUCCUAAGUCCUCAGAGUCCUGGUGACAUAAUAUCCUAUGCAGAGGUGGGAAUUCAGCAGAGAAUCUUUCCUGGGCUGUUGCCCUCCCAUCUCCCUAUAGCUUCUUUCCUUCCUUUCUAUUUAUGACCCCGAUUAUGGAUCUUACCUGUACUGCUCCUAAGUCUUCAUACAGAAGUAACUGUUGGCACGGCCUCAGCUGCCAGACUGGUGAUAAAGCAGCUGAUGUUUGAUUUCUCAUGUGCUUAAACUCUGAGCAGAGGUAAAUUGUUUUAUGACAAGACUUGGCACCUCCAUCUUUGUCCAGCUGUUAAACAAAUGUGUGUCCUUGGUCACCAAUGGAACCAGACUAGAGGGGUGUAGAUAGCUGAAUGUGUGCCAUAAUUACUACUGUUAAAACAACUCGAAGCACAUGUCCUACUGACAGGGGUGUGGGGAUGGCAGGCGGCACAUGCGCUGCACAGACGUUCGGAGGUAUGUUUUCAAAUUGGGCUUUGCAGGAGGUCCCAGCCACACACACACACUUUCAGAAUCUCAGCUUGUGCGUGAGGAGAGGAGUCGCAUAGCACAUGCACGGUCCCUUCUUUUCUGUGCUGUCACUUCAAGGGUCUUCUUCAGAUCAGAAGCCUUUUCCUCUGUGCUGAGGCUUUUCUUAAACUACUUUUAUUACAGUACCUGUAUCAUUGCUUUUUAAUUUUUAAAACCCAUUUUGAGUUUCUCACUUGGCUGCGAACCCUGCAGGUUGGUUGAAGCCACCUUGUUCAUAGUUGCUUCAGGAGCACUAAAUACAUGGACCCAUGGGAAGAGCUCAGAGAAUAUUUUAGGAUUUUCUUUUUCUUUUUCUUUCUUUUUGGUUCCAGGAUUGAACCCAGUAGCACUUAACUACUGGGCCAUAUCCCCAGCCCUUUUUUAAAAAAAAUUUAUUAAGAGACAGGGUCUUGCUGAGUUGCUGAGGGCCUGGCUAAGUUACUGAGGCUGGCUUUGAACUUGUGAUCCUCUUGCCUCAGCCUCCCCAAUUACUGGUAUUACAGGUGUGAGCCACUAAGCCUGGCUAUUUUAGGUCUUUCUUAGGAGGUACUUCCUAAGUCACGUGACUUUGUUUAAUUUCUAGCCACGAUCUGUAGACUCAGAUACAGUUUUCAAGGAUCUCCAAGAUCUCUGAGAAGUUGACUGCAUUACUAUCUUUUUUUGGGACAUGUCUACUGCCAAUACACUGGGAUACCUGGGCUCCCAAGUUCUCAACACCACAAUGUAAAGAAUCAUGUUUCAUCUACACCUUGAACUCUGCUGUGUCAGUCUAAUCCGUUCUUUUUUGUGCAAGGAAUGUCAACAUUGGAACCUAUACAUAAAAUUUCAGGCACAACUAAAACUCAGUAAUUAAGAUAAAUAAUAUUUCAACCCAAUAUUUUGAAAAUUCUAAACGAAUGCAGACUUUUUGCUUAUCAAAAUUUUAAAUGAAGACAGUUUCAGUAUUCUCAAUUUUAUUUUCUGCCUCAAAAUGGCUCUUCUUUAUUGAUUCACUUGCUUCACCCUACUUCUGGCCUUGAAGAAGACAGAACUGAGGAGAAGUCUCCUUGGCUGUGACUUUGCUGAUUUUAUUUUUUUAUCCCCUUCCUUUUUUGUGUGUGUUUGAGAUGGAGGGUGGGAGAUGGUACAUGUUUCAGGUAGAACCGAAAGGUAAAUGCACAAUCAUAAAAAAUAGAACUUGUUGUCAGAUCUGAAGUGCCUGUAUUAGGAAAGAUUUAGUAGGGAAAAUAUUGCAUAUUUAAUAACUGAAUAACAAAAGACUGAAAUAAAUAAAAUUUAAUAACA